rnacentral:tRNA from 2 species
GGGCCAUUAGCUCAGUUGGUUAGAGCAGAGGACUCAUAAUCCUUUGGUCGUUGGUUCAAGUCCAACAUGGCCUACCA